rnacentral:rRNA from 1 species
AUACGUAGGGCGCGAGCGUUGUCCGGAUUCACUGGGUGUAAAGGGUGCGUAGGCGGCUCUGCAAGUCAGGUGUGAAAACCAUCGGCUUAACUGAUGGACUGCAUUUGAAACUGUGGAGCUUGAGUGGAGUAGAGGCAGACGGAAUUCCCGGUGUAGCGGUGAAAUGCGUAGAGAUCGGGAGGAACACCAGUGGCGAAGGCGGUCUGCUGGGCUUUAACCGACGCUGAGGCACGAAAGCAUGGGUAGCAAACAGGAUUAGAUACCCUGGUAGUCCAUGCCGUAAACGAUGAUUACUAGGUGUGGGGGGUCUGACCCCCUCCGUGCCGGAGUUAACACAAUAAGUAAUCCACCUGGGAAGUACGACCGCAAGGUUGAA